AGCAGUCUGGUAGCUCGUCGGGCUCAUAACCCGAAGGUCGUUGGUUCAAAUCCAGCUCCCGCUACCA
rnacentral:tRNA from 1 species